AUUGAACGCUGGCGGCAUGCCUUACACAUGCAAGUCGAACGGCAGCACGGGUGCUUGCACCUGGUGGCGAGUGGCGAACGGGUGAGUAAUACAUCGGAACGUACCUUAUCGUGGGGGAUAACGCAGCGAAAGCUGUGCUAAUACCGCAUACGCCCUGAGGGGGAAAGCGGGGGAUCGCAAGACCUCGCGCGAUUAGAGCGGCCGAUGCCUGAUUAGCUAGUUGGUGGGGGAAAAGCCCACCAAGGCGACGAUCAGUAGCUGGUCUGAGAGGACGAUCAGCCAAACGGGGACUGAGACACGGCCCAGACUCCUACGGGAGGCAGCAGUGGGGAAUUUGGGACAAUGGGGGCAACCCUGAUCCAGCAAUGCCGCGUGAGUGAAGAAGGCCUUCGGGUUGUAAAGCUCUUUUGUCAGGGAAGAAACACCGGCUCUAACACAGUCCGGGAAUGACGGUACCUGAAGAAUAAGCACCGGCUAACUACGUGCCAGCCACCGCAGUAA
rnacentral:rRNA from 1 species